rnacentral:lncRNA from 1 species
UACAGACAGGGAAAGAAAGAGGGGAGAGAAAGGAGAAAUUAGAGGAGAGAGAAGGAGAGAAAGGAGCGGGGAGAGAUACAAAGGAGAGAGGGAGAGAGGAGCGGGGGAAAGAAAGCGGGUAGAGAGAGAGGGAAAUAGAGAGCAGGGAGAAAGGGAGAGAAGGAGAUAGACUGGGGAGAGACCCAGAGGAGAGAUGAGAGAAAGGGGAUUAGGAGAGGGAGGAGGAGAGGGAAAGGAAAGAAAGAAGGGGGAAAAACCGGGAGAAAAAGGGAAAGAGAAGGGAUAGGGGAAAGAGGAGAGAAAGAGCCGGGGGGAGAGGGGAGGGAGAGAGAAAAAGUGAGGAAGGAAAGAGACACAGGAGAGAGGAGAGGGAAAGAAGGAAAGAAACGGGGAAGAGAAGGAGGAAGAGUGGGGGGAGGGAGAAGGAGAAAAAUGAUGAGUAGGGGAGUGAGAAGGUGAAAAAAAGGAGAGUGAGAGAGGGCAGGUGAACACCAGGCCAGGGAAUGGGGGGCAACACGAAGACAGCAGAGAGGGGCCAGGGGAGCACCCAGGUCGCAGCCUUUAAUUGCCGCCCCUCCCCACCUUGGGCCAGGGCAGAGGAGGGCGGCAGCAGGAAGCUGUGCAGAGCCCAGCAGGAGGAACCUGGAUGCCCCCAGGCACUGGGGCAGCGGCUAUCCCCACCUGGAACACACUUCUUCAUCUCCGCCUGUUGGCGUCCCAAGGGUCCGCCGCCGUGUAAGAAGUACCUUUCACCUUCCACCAUGAUUGUGAGGCCUCCCCAGCCACGUGGAAAUGGCAGGUGCAGAGGAUCCAGCAUGUUAUUCUGAAACCCCAGAAGACGCUGCAGCUACCAAAUAGAAGGAGCCUGGAUCCCUGAAUGUCUUCAUGGAACAGAACAUUCUCCUCACUCCAGUCUGUUUGAACCAGAAUAUGACCUGAGCAAGAAAUAAGCCUUAAUUAUAUUUGACCAUAGAAUUCUGGUGAUAUUUCUAUGGCUGUAAGUCCAUGUUGAUUAAUACAAAGGGAUGCUGUAAAGCCUCUUCUAUUAAAAAAAGUUGCCCAAGGAGUGAAAGGAGAGAUAUUUUCUGUAAUUAAGAUUUUCAUAAUACAUAGAACAGGCUAUAGCACCUGGCAAUCAAUCAUAUGGGGUACAACAGAAAGAGGAAACAUUCCUGCUAUUAAAUUAACCAAACUGGAGUUCUUGUUAUAUAAUAUAGUAAAAUUUCCUCAAUCUUUCAGCCACCUUUAGUUCUGUAAUCUAUUAUUUCUGGGUAAAAGCAUACCAUUUGAUACACAAUCCAAACCCAAUUCUUAAUUAAUAACGUGUAUCCACUGUAUCUUACCACAUCCCAAAUCAUCUAAUACUUAACCACCUAGUUUCUAUGUUCCACUUACAUCAAACAUAUUCAUGUUUGGAAAAUUGAGCCAGCAUCUACUGCCUUAUCAGCUGAUGCAUAACAAUUUACUUUGUCUGUGCUCUAUAAUAAUGCAAGUCUGCUUGGAAAGAUAACACGUUAAAGGGUUAUCAGACCCUAACACCUUCGUAUAGAUGAAUUUAUCAGAUCCUCUGCUAAACCACUUUCGAAUCCUUGGCCAGUUCUCUACAUUUCAUGAAGAGUUAGCAUAGCCAGUCCAGGAGAUAUUAUCUUCAGGAUGUGGUCAGUUGUGGAAAGGAAGAUAGCUCUGAGGAUCUCUUUCCAGGGAAAAGAAAGACAUGAGGAUUGCUCCAAAGAUCCUCUUUCUGGGGGAAAACGCACAUACUACAG